rnacentral:rRNA from 1 species
GAUGAACGCUGGCGGCGUGCUUAACACAUGCAAGUCGAACGGAAAGGCUCCUGCUUGCAGGGGUACUCGAGUGGCGAACGGGUGAGUAACACGUGGGUGAUCUGCCCUGCACUUCGGGAUAAGCCUGGGAAACUGGGUCUAAUACCGGAUAGGACCACAUUUUGGAUGGUGUGGUGGAAAGUUUUUCGGUGUGGGAUGAGCUCGCGGCCUAUCAGCUUGUUGGUGGGGUAAUGGCCUACCAAGGCGUCGACGGGUAGCCGGCCUGAGAGGGUGUACGGUCACAUUGGGACUGAGAUACGGCCCAGACUCCUACGGGAGGCAGCAGUGGGGAAUAUUGCACAAUGGGCGCAAGCCUGAUGCAGCGACGCCGCGUGGGGGAUGACGGCCUUCGGGUUGUAAACUCCUUUCGCUAGGGACGAAGCGUUUUUGUGACGGUACCUGGAGAAGAAGCACCGGCUAACUACGUG